rnacentral:SRP_RNA from 2 species
AGAGGCCGGCAACGGACAGGCUACUCGCCAAUCCGGUCAGGUCCGGAAGGAAGCAGCCGUAACGAGGUUUUGCUUGGGUCGUUAGUCCGGUCUCUCAC